rnacentral:rRNA from 1 species
AUUGAACGCUGGCGGCAUGCCUAACACAUGCAAGUCGAACGGGGUAGCAAUACCCAGUGGCGGACGGGUGAGGAAUACAUAGGAAUUUGCCUUUAGGUGGGGGAUAGCCCGGGGAAACUCGGAGUAAUACCGCAUGAUGUCGAAAGACCAAAGUAGGGGAUCGCAAGACCUUGCGCCUUUAGAGAAGCCUAUGUCUGUAUUAGCUAGUUGGUAGGGUAAUGGCCUACCAAGGCGACGANCAGUAACUGGUCUGAGAGGACGAUCAGUCACACCGGAACUGAGACACGGUCCGGACUCCUACGGGAGGCAGCAGUGGGGAAUAUUGGACAAUGGGCGAAAGCCUGAUCCAGCAAUGCCGCGUGUGUGAAGAAGGCCU